AUGAGAAAACACUUGUUGUACAUGUUACAUUAUUUGGCCACCAACGUUAAAACACUCAUUAAAAGUAUUUUGUCAUGCAGUGACUAUUUUCCAGCAAUUAAAUCACAUUAGAUCAACUGAAACUUCUCUGGUCUCUUUGACCUCAUGCUUCUGGCAUUCAUCUUUCUUAAUGCUCACUGUAAUUUAUUUAUAAUUACAUGUAUCCUGUAUGGUUGUUUGUGACUUCUCUGAAUUGUGUUUUUAAAGUAUGUUUCUUUGUGUAUUGCCACCAAAGCCUGGGUUCCAUUGUCCUAAAGGUCAGCCGCUAUGGGAAGUGGGGAGAAAGUCUCAGGAAGACAGGAAUAGUAUUUACCUUGCUCAAUUCACUACUCCAUAACCAGCAUCUGGUCUCACACCUAAGUAUAACUGAUGUUUCACAAAUUGGAUUCACAAGAAAGUGUUCCUGUUAUACCUUUUCAGCUGUCACCGCUGAAGGGAGAGCAAUUAGUGAGUGGGCUGGUCCUGUCCCCUAACUCUGUGGAGGGUACAGUGUAGCGCAGAGCUUUAAGAGGAACUCCUGAGAUCAAGCCCGACCUGCUGCCGGGAGUAAGGACUCUCAGUGCAGGCUUCUCGCCCUGCACUGAGAGUCUCUCCAGUUCCCUGCAAUUCUUUCAGGGCAGAGUCUGUUUCUUGAUAAUUUUUUACCGUUUGCCAACUAUAAAAAUCUCUAGGACAGUUUGUGGAGUUAUUAAUGAAUGAUAAAAACACUGGCUCUUAGAGAUAAUUCAUGGUGUGAUUACAAACAAAAAUGGCUAUAAGUCAAAGCACCAAAUUUCUAGUUCAGGUUCUGCCAUACAUUUGCAAUGUAAGUUUGGGCAAAGCUUGGUGUUUGCUAUUUUUUCACCUGCAACAAUGAGAUUGUAGUUAAACUGACUGCUUUAAAUUCUUGGCCCAUUUAUUUAUAAUCUUACCCUGAGAGCCUCUUCGUGCCCCUCUAGUUUUCACAUAACAUCUAGAGAUGAGAGAGACUGUUUCAGUUUCUGUUUUAUUUUUAAUAAAAUGAAGUUCAGGUAACAUGGAAACAGGUAACAUUGCAAAACACAUUCUGAGUGUUACUCCAUAUUUUCUUCUCUGUUUUGGGAUAUUCUCACAUGCAAUUUUAUAUUCAAUUAUAUUCAGUAUUUCAGAAAUUAUAUUCAAUAUUUCAGAACUAGCUUUUUACAUUCAGUGCUUUGCUUUGCAAACUUAUUUCAGCACAGUAAUCUAACAGCUACAUGGCAUUUUCUGUACAAAGUCCAUAUAAAGUAUCAUAAAUACUACAUGAUCAAAUAGCAUAGAAGAUCUAAAAUGGAAAAUGAAAAUCUCUCCACAAACUCCAUUCCUCCACAAAAGUAACCCCAGAGAUAGUUUAUUUUUUUGUCUUCCCUGAUAUUUUCAGUAUCUAUGUAAACAAAUACAUGCACAUAAAUAUAUGUCUAGUUUUUCCACAAAUGAUAACUUAGUAUAAAUACUCCACAACUUCCUAAUGCAACAUAAACAGCUUCGUACGUCAGCACAUGUAGAUCUAACUCCGUCUUUUUCCUCUUUCUGUGUUCUAUGCUUUAUUUAAUCAGUUACUUUUUAUAACAUGUUUAGCUUGUUACAGGGUGUUUUGGUUUCUCUGAUUUUAUAAAAAUUAUUUGUGAUCAAAUGCACACAGCAUACAAUUUAUUAUUCUAUCCAUUUUCAAGUAUGAAGUUUAGUAAUGGUAAGUAUAUUCACAUUGUUGUGUGACCAUUACCACUAUCCAUCUCCAGAACUUUUGGAAAACUGAUAAAAAUACCUUCUAAACUAAAACUACCCCUUUUUCUCUCAGCACCUAUAUUCCCCUCGCUGACUCCAUGAAUUGGACUGCUCUUAAUACCUUAUAUAAGUGAAAUCAUACAGUGUCUCUUAAGUUCACUUUAGAUAAUGUGCUCAAGAUUCAUCUAUACUGCAGCUGUGUUAGAAUUUUCUCUUUUAAAGCCAAAUGCAAUUCUACUAUAUGCAUAGAUCACAUUUUGUUUACCCAUUCAUCCGUGGAUAAUGGGCAUUUAGGGUGUUAAUUAUUAUUUCUUGCACUUGUAAUAUCCUUCUUGGUUUACAAAGAAUUUCAUGAGGGAUCUCAUUUUGGUCAUUUUCAGUUGCUGAAGGAAUCUCAUACAUCAUCUCAGGAGUCAGAAAUUCUGCCAUUUUGUUUUCAUUUUUUGAGGUACCUAGUAUUUUUAAAACGAUGGGAUGUCCAAUAUGGAUGAGGCAUAUCCAUAUCCUCUCUCCUGCCAGGAAGGAGAAGGCCAAGAACUUUCAUUCUCUUAUGAUCUCUAUCUGGUUUCCCAAAGCCCUUCCAAACAAAUUACAAUAUAAGUAAAAGCAGGGAACUUCUGUGUAAAUGCUGCCUCCAGGAAAAGCCAUUGUACUACUUCUAGAUCACUUAAGGAACUUAUAGAGCUGCCUCAGUCCAAAACAAUUUUGCUGCAUUCCUAAAUAUUUACAUAAAGCAGACUGAUACUUUCAAGAGAAGGAGGAAAGCACAGUGCAACAUAGUUGUGUUAAAGUAGGCUAAUAAUACUGCUUACAAAAAUGACAUUAUGAUGUACCGUAAGUAGUAUGAACUGAGAAUGAAACAAAAGAUUUUUUUAUUUCUAUUUUUAUUGCUUGUCUGUUUGUUUUGAGACAGAGGCUCGCUCCAUAUUUUAUGCUGGCCUUGAACUUACUAUGUAGCUCAGGCUGGCCUCAAACUCAUGGCAGUUCUCCUGCUUCAGCCUUGUGAGUGCUGGAAUUAUAGGUAUGUAUCACCAUACCUGGCCAGGAACAAAAGUUUAAAGCAAUAUAAUUAACUUUUCUCAGUUUUGUCAGUGUACCUAAAGAAUAUGAUAUGAAAUCUUGUUUGGCAAUUAUAUUAAACUUCUACAUUUGAGGUUCUUUUUCUUAAUUUUUGUUUUUUAAUAUAUAAUGUUUUUACUCAUUUAUUGGGUACAAUAUGAUAAUCUGAUACAGGUGUACAGUAUGUGCUAAUCAAAUUGAGUAACUAGCAUUUCUGUCUUUUCAAUUAUUACCAUUUCUAUUUGUUGAGAACCUGAGACUUUUCCUUCAAGUUAUUUUAAAACACUGGUACCUAGUGAAUUGUUAUGGACUGUAGUUACUCUACUAGGCUCUGAACUUCAGAACUCUGCCUUGGAUUUUGGAGCCCAUCAUUCACCCUCCCCAUUCCCUUUCGCCCUCCCUUUUUAUCUUCUAUUCUUCUCUAGUUUUAUGAGACCAACUUUUUUUUAGCUUUUUAGUGAGUAGAAGCAUAAUAGUAGUGUCUGUCCGCGGCUGGCUUAUCUCCUUUAACUCAGUUCCAUCCACAAUGAAAUGACUUCAUCCUAUUAAUUUAUUUAUUAUGUGAUGCCAGAAAUUGAACUCAUGAUCACAUGCUUACCAGGCAGACCCUGGGCCUCUGAGCUACAUUCCUGCCAGUGUUACCCUUUUUAAAUGGCUGAAUAAUAUUCAUAUGUGUGUCACAUUGUUUAAUCGUCCUAUCUGUUGAUAGUUGGUGAAUAUCUUGAUUUAUUCUGUAUCUUAACCAUUACAUAGUUCUGCAAUAGAUAUGGUCAUGCCAGUAUCUCUUUGAUUCAUACUUCUGGAAUGUAUGCCAAAUAGAGGGAUUGCUAGAUCAUAUGGUAGUGUUAGUUUCAAGUUUUUUUGGUGGAUCUCCAUGUGCUUUUCCACAAUGUCUGCACUACUGUAUUCUCCCAAUGUACAAGAGUUUCUGCCUGACACUACUUUUUUUGUUUUUUUAACUUUUUUAUCAUAGCCAUUCUAACUGGGGUGAAAAAUGAUGUCUCACUGUACUGUUGACAUGAGUUUCUCUGAUGAAUAUUCACCGGGAUGGAGUGCACCUGGGACAAACAAGUCUUGAAGUAUUUCUGUUCUGAACAGGCGUCUGUCUGUGUUUGUGACCUUUGUGUUGUGAUGUGUAUGAGCUGCUGUCUGGAA